CUCUCUCUUUAGUCAAACUUUUACUUUUAUUAUUAUUAUUUAUUUAUUUAAUAAUACUAUACAUCCACAAUUAUACAAAACAAUAUCAUACUCUACAGUAAGAUUAAUGAAUAAGACAUUUUCUCAUAUAUUCUGUAUCAAAUCUUGCGUAUCGAGUAGGGAUGUCAACGGGUCGGAUUUGGAUUGGGUUUUAUAAAUUUGAAUUCAAAUCCGAAAAUUAAAUUAAAAUUCGAAUCUGGAUUCGAAUCCAGUGGAUUUUAAAAGUCCAUACUCAUAUCCGUCCCUGACCAAAAAUCCGAAAUCCGAACUAGGACCCAAAUCCGGCGAAGAUUGAAUGGAUAAAAAAGUAUUAAAUAUUUUAUAUAUUAUAUAAAUAAAUAAAAAUAAAUUAUAUAUAUAAUUUUUUCGUGUUCGGGUUCAGAUUCGAAUUGGGUAAAUACAAAAUUCAUACCCGUAUUCAUAUCCAUCGAGUUUUUAUUUUUUAUAUCUAUAAUCGAAUCCAUAUCUGUUUAGCUCGGAUAAACCCACUCUGUUCAGGUUCGGAUUCGGAUAAUAUUUCGGAUAUCCAUACCCAUUGACGUCCCUAAUAUCGAGCUCUGCGAGAUAGUUAUAAGUGUAAAUAAAAGACCAAUAUAAUAACUAUAUACUUAAAAAAUAUU
rnacentral:lncRNA from 1 species